CCGCGCACGCAAGAAGAGCAUUGUUUACCCACAAUUUUUGCCAUCAUCUUGCCAUUGUAGACAACCGGAUUGACGCCCAGGGAGGGGGGGGGGGGGAAGGGAGGGAUCACCUCACGUGGAAAAAAG
ensembl:ncRNA C40C9.8 ncRNA